AACGAACGCUGGCGGCAUGCCUAACACAUGCAAGUCGAACGAGACCUUCGGGUCUAGUGGCGCACGGGUGCGUAACGCGUGGGAACCUGCCCUUAGGUUCGGAAUAACUCCCCGAAAGGGGUGCUAAUACCGGAUAAUGUCUUCGGACCAAAGAUUUAUCGCCUUUGGAUGGGCCCGCGUUGGAUUAGCUAGUUGGUAGGGUAAAAGCCUACCAAGGCGACGAUCCAUAGCUGGUCUGAGAGGAUGAUCAGCCACACUGGGACUGAGACACGGCCCAGACUCCUACGGGAGGCAGCAGUGGGGAAUAUUGGACAAUGGGCGAAAGCCUGAUCCAGCAAUGCCGCGUGAGUGAUGAAGGCCUUAGGGUUGUAAAGCUCCUUUACCCGGGAUGAUAAUGACAGUACCGGGAGUAUAAGCUCCGGCUAACUCCGUG
rnacentral:rRNA from 1 species